AGAGAGUUAGUCUUUAUAUUAAGACGUGGGGUUGUCGAUCCUAAGAGGUUAAUUUAUUUAACACUUUCUG
rnacentral:tRNA from 1 species